GUCGUAGCUCAGUGGUAGUACAUCUGCUCAGUAUGCAGAAGGUCCCAGGUCCAAACCCUGGCAUCUCCA